rnacentral:rRNA from 1 species
AUUGAACGCUGGCGGCAUGCUUUACACAUGCAAGUCGAGCGGCAGCGCGGGGGCAACCCUGGCGGCGAGCGGCGAACGGGUGAGUAAUGCAUCGGAACGUAUCCUCGAGUGGGGGAUAACCCAGCGAAAGUUGGGCUAAUACCGCAUGAGCUCUGAGGAGGAAAGCGGGGGACCUGCGAGGGCCUCGCGCUGGAGGAGCGGCCGAUGUCCGAUUAGCUAGUUGGUGGGGUAAAGGCUUACCAAGGCGACGAUCGGUAGCUGGUCUGAGAGGAUGAUCAGCCACACUGGGACUGGGACACGGCCCAGACUCCUACGGGAGGCAGCAGUGGGGAAUUUUGGACAAUGGGGGCAACCCUGAUCCAGCCAUGCCGCGUGAGUGAAGAAGGCCUUCGGGUUGUAAAGCUCUUUCGGACGGAACGAAAUGGGCGGGACUAAUACUCCUGUCUGAUGACGGUACCGUAAGAAGAAGCACCGGCUAACUACGUG